rnacentral:sRNA from 1 species
UAUUAGCCCAGAUAGUAGUGAAAAGUUUUUGAAAUGGACGACUAUUUUUUGAAAUCAAAAAAAGGAGUACAUGAAAAAACUUGAAACGAAUAGCUGGAUUGGCU